rnacentral:tRNA from 1 species
CGGGGCGUAGCGCAGUCCGGAAGCGCGCUUGAAUGGGGUUCAAGAGGUCGCUGGUUCAAAUCCAGUCGCCCCGA